GACGAACGCUGGCGGCGUGCUUAACACAUGCAAGUCGAACGAAGUGGCGCACGGGUGAGUAACGCGUAAUCAACCUGCCCUUCAGAGGGGGAUAACAGUUGGAAACGAAUGCUAAUACAGCAUACUGAAGGAGGGGACUGAGUGGGAUUAGCUAGUUGGAGGGGUAACGGCCCACCAAGGCGAUGAUCAGUAGCCGGUCUGAGAGGGUGAACGGCCACAUUGGGACUGAGACACGGCCCAGACUCCUACGGGAGGCAGCAGUGGGGAAUCUUCCGCAAUGGACGAAAGUCUGACGGAGCAACGCCGCGUGAGUGAUGACGGCCUUCGGGUUGUAAAGCUCUGUUAAUCGGGACGCGGUACCGGAAUAGAAAGCCACGGCUAACUACGUGCCAGCAGCCGCGGUAAUUC
rnacentral:rRNA from 1 species